CAAGGAAUAGUUUAAUAGAACAUUGGCUUUGGGGGCCUAGGGUAGAAGUUUAAGUCUUCUUUCUUUGA
rnacentral:tRNA from 1 species